UUCUCUCCUGCUGAUUUCUUCUUGUUCUUUGCAACUUCCCAGGAUUGUUAAUUGUUUUUUUAAAAAUUUAGGCUUUGUUUCUUUCUCUUUUCUUUUUUUAAGUUUUUCUUUAAUUUAAACAUAAAAGCACUCCAUCUUGCAUUUGAAAAGAAAAACCUGUCCUGUUAAUCAUAUCACUUUAACCCACUUGUUCUUUGUAUUUUCUAAGGAGCUACUACAGGUCGAAAAGAAGUCAUCAAGAAUAAAAUCCGAGCCAUUGGGAAAAUGGCCCGGGUCUUUACGGUUCUUCGGUAAGGUUCCAUCGUUACACUGUGGGAUGAGGGUGUUUAGAAAGGAGGUUACAAGUUAGCUUCACAGCAGUGUUUUCAAGGAUUCAGUCUGAUGCUGGAACUGCAAGUCUUCUGGUUGAGUGCAGGUUAAACAGACUCCCUGUGAAAGUGACAGCAUUGGGAACAUCCAUGUGGUAGUGGUGUAGAUGGAGAGGUUUAGUGUGGAUUUUAGAGGUAGAUCCCCAUGUUCAAACUCUGGCUUUCCUUAGCUGUGUUGUCUUGGGUUUAAUGUUUGGGUCUUAGAUUUUCUUGUCUAUAAGCUAGAGAUUAAAAUAGAACCUAGCUCACAUGUUGUUAGUGAGUCAAAUGGGAGAAAGUGUGGGGACGUUGCCUGGCUACCAGUGCCUCUGGUUGAAAAAGGACUGGUUAAUUUUUGUGUCUGAAGUGUAUGUAGAAACCUGGUCAGAUGAAGGUGGGGCCUGUCUUCCUGUCUCUGUCCCUGUUACCUUCCUUCAGGUCUCAUUGCGUUGCUGUGCCAUGGCUCCCUGGCAUUAACCAGGGCUUCCAUGUUCCUUUGCAGGGAAGAGAGUGAGAAUGUGCUGACCCUCAAGGGCCUCACUCCCACAGGCACACUCCCACUGGGGGUCCUCUCUGGAGGAAAGCAGACCAUUGAGACUGGUGAGUAUGAAGAUGUCCCUUCCUAAGAGGUGUGCCCCCAUUACCAGGAGUUGGUGACUUUGUUUAGAACCUGGUGCUAGAGCAAUGGAUAUUUACCUAGGGAAAGAGGAAUCAUUGUCCUUAUCCUUCUUGUACACAAAAUAAUUUAAAGUAGAUAGUAAUUUAGGGGAAAAAAUGUGAAGAGUAGGUAUUAGAGUAAGCAAAGUCUUCAAUAAGAGGCUUUUAUUAUUUUAAUAAAAGUAAUGCUCUUAAAAGAAAAUAGAGGUUAUUAAAAUUAAAUUCCCCUUAUGAAAAUACAUAAUUAAGAGAAGGAAGAGGCAAGCCACAGAAAAGAUUUCUGCACUACCUAUGUCUGACAAAGGCCUUGUUUCAAAAUAGACAAUUUAUUUCACCAAAGAAGAUGUGAAGAUGGCCAGCAAACAUGUAUGAAGAUGCCCAGCAUAGUUACUCUCCUGGAAGAUGAAUAUGAAAGCAUAGUGAACCACUUCUGCAUACCCAUAAGAAUGGCUGGAAUGUAGAAAUCUGACGAGGUCAAGAGUUGGUGUGUCUAUGGAGGCCUGGACUAGAAGUAGGCUAGUGGGCUUACACAUAGACUCAACACAUUGGCCAGCCGGUAGCCAAUAAAGCUGAAGACACUUGGACCCAUACCCUGCAACUCCACACCAAGGAUAUCCAAGAGGAAUUAGCAUGCAUGUCCACCCGAGGAUAUGCAUAAGCAUGUUUGUUUACUGUGGUUUUAUCAUGGUAGCUCCAGAUCAGAAGCAGCUCCCCUGCCUGUUGGUAGUGAAUACAUUAUAUUAUAUUGAUACAGUAGGCUACUGCUCACCCAUUGGACCUGUUGCAUUGAGGUCAAAGCACAAGCUUAGCUCCUGUCCAUCAGUAAGAAAGAGUGUCACUCUGAAAGCCAGUGAUAUCUUGAAGAGUUACACAUGCUUUGGAAAUAACAUAUAAGUAAUCCCUAAUUAAAGCACUGAUUCAAACCAGAAAUGAAGAGACAUAAAAUAUACUGGGACCAAGCCCAAAAAGGAGUGAAGAAAAAAAAAUAUGUAUAUACAUACAUAUAUAUAUAUCCCAAGUUACUGCACCUAUAAAAUUCUCUUGCUACCCUUGAUUUGUAGAUUUGCUCCUAUGAGAUCUAGCAAAAAAAUUAUAUUAAAGCAACUUUGUGGAUCAAUAAAUUUUUAAAACUUCAAGUAAGGAAGAUAGGUAGGCAUUUCUCUUUUUUUCUUAAUCCAUGUUACUUCCUAUUAACCUAAAACACCCUCAUCAGAACUGUUCACAGAAAAUCUCAUAUGACUAAUUAACAAGUAAAAUAAAAGUAGUUAAGUAUCUUAUAUUUUUAAAAGCCUGUACAUUUCUUUAGAGAUAUGGCCUCUAGGAGGUCGACCAUCCUUCAGAGGAUAGUUCACAGCCCUGUGAAAGAGACUAAGUAGAUUCAGUGAGUUAUUAAACAACAAAAAAGGAGAGGACAUGGAGAUGGUGGGAGGUGGGUAUGAUCAAGAUACACUAUAUAUGUACAAAUGAAGAUCCUGCAACCAUGGAGUUGAGGGUGCAUUGGAAAUACUUUAUGGACCUGAGAGAGGACUCAGUGGGUAAUAAAAGAUACUUAUUGCCAAAGUUGAUGACCUGAGUUUGGUCCCACAUGGUGGAAGAAGAGAACCAACUCCUGCACUCUUUAACCACCAUAUGUGUGCUGUGGCAUGCUCAUGAACACACACACACACACACACACACACACACACACACACACACACAAUGUAAUAGAACAUAAUGAAGGGGCUAGAGAGAUGGCUUAGCAGUUAAGAACACUUGCAUUCUUACAUGGGGCCUGAAUUUGGUUCUCAGCACCCACAUGGUGGCUCACAACCAUCUAUAACUGCAUUCCAGGGGAUCUGACACUUUUCUGAUCUCUACAGGCACCAUCCAUGCAAAUGGUACACAUAU
rnacentral:lncRNA from 1 species